rnacentral:rRNA from 1 species
GGCUCAGGAUGAACGCUGGCGGCGUGCCUAAUACAUGCAAGUCGAGCGAACGGACGAGAGUGCUUGCACUCUUUGAUGUUAGCGGCGGACGGGUGAGUAACACGUGGGUAACCUACCUAUAAGACUGGGAUAACUUCGGGAAACCGGAGCUAAUACCGGAUAAUAUUUUUCUCUGCAUGGAGGAAUAGUGAAAGACGGUUUUGCUGUCACUUAUAGAUGGACCCGCGGUGUAUUAGCUAGUUGGUGAGGUAACGGCUCACCAAGGCAACGAUACAUAGCCGACCUGAGAGGGUGAUCGGCCACACUGGGACUGAGACACGGCCCAGACUCCUACGGGAGGCAGCAGUAGGGAAUCUUCCGCAAUGGACGAAAGUCUGACGGAGCAACGCCGCGUGAGUGAAGAAGGUUUUCGGAUCGUAAAACUCUGUUGUAAGGGAAGAACAAGUACGUUAGUAAC